CAAUAAUUAAGUUAACAGUAAUUUCAUUUUCCUUCAAGUCUCUAAUAGUUUGGUUACCUUUUUUACCUUACGGGUCUUUUGCCAGUGCCUGUUCGUGAUGGCCUCUCGAUACUAUCGAAGGGUUCAAAUCCUGCUUUCCAUUUCCAGCAAGGAAACAAAAAACAUGGACGGAAAGGCUUCUACAGAAAACCAUUGCACAGUGCUGAUAUCUUAUCUUUCAUUCGACGUGCAAGAAGAUCAGCAGCAUGAGAAAAACUUGAAACGGGAAUCCAUAUGUUUCUGUUGCUACUGCUUUUAUUAGCUAAUCUUUUGUAGUGGUACUCAUGGUUUGUUUUAGGUAGAGAUAUGCUGAAUAUUCCCAAUAGGGGGACUGGAGAUUUCUUGUAAUAUAUUUCAAGGUUCCAUAGAUGAGGCAGAAAUGUCUUGAUUAAAUGUUCAUAUCUAUAUAAUUAUGGGAAGAAUUAUUGCAUGUAAGGUAGCAAA